GACGAACGCUGGCGGCGUGCUUAACACAUGCAAGUCGAACGGAAAGGCCCUGCUUUUGUGGGGUGCUCGAGUGGCGAACGGGUGAGUAACACGUGAGUAACCUGCCCUUGACUUUGGGAUAACUUCAGGAAACUGGGGCUAAUACCGGAUAGGAGCUCCUGCUGCAUGGUGGGGGUUGGAAAGUUUCGGCGGUUGGGGAUGGACUCGCGGCUUAUCAGCUUGUUGGUGGGGUAGUGGCUUACCAAGGCUUUGACGGGUAGCCGGCCUGAGAGGGUGACCGGCCACACUGGGACUGAGAUGCGGCCCAGACUCCUACGGGAGGCAGCAGUGGGGAAUAGUGCACAGUGGGCGGAAGCCUAAUGCAGCAACGCCGCGUGCGGGAUGACGGCCUUCGGGUUGUAAACCGCUUUCGCCUGUGACGAAGCGUGAGUGACGGUAAUGGGUGAAGAAGCACCGGCUAACUACGUG
rnacentral:rRNA from 1 species